rnacentral:ncRNA from 1 species
UGACACUCCCAUUACCUAUGGACACGGUGUCACAAGCUCUCAACAGGGGUUCUGCCCUCGAGCUUGCCGGAAGUUUUUCCGUGUCCAG